ACCCUCUCAGGAUUGCACCUGGAGAGUUUCUAGUACUCUACCAGUAUCAACUACGGUCGGGAGAGUCACGCUGAGGCAUACCCAUUCCAUUCCUAGCUUGGCCAGUGGCUAGUGAGUGGAAGGCAAUCUGCUACAAGU